rnacentral:rRNA from 1 species
UACGAACGCUGGCGGCGUGCUUAACACAUGCAAGUCGAACGGAAAGGCCCUGAUCUUGUGGCGUGCUCGAGUGCCGAACGGGUGAGUGACACGCGUGUAACCUGCCCUUGACUUUGGGAUAACUUCACGAAACUGGGGCGAAUACCGGAUAGGAGCUCCUGCUGCAUGGUGGGGGUUGGAAAGUUUCGGCGGUUGGGGAUGGACUCGCGGCUUAUCAGCUUGUUGGUGGGGUAGUUGCUUACCAAGGCUUUGACGGGUAGCCGGCCUGAGAGGGUGACCGGCGACAUUGGGACUGAGAGACGGCGCAGACUGCUACGGGAGGCAGUAGUCGGGAAUAUGGCACAACGGGCGGACGCGUGAGGCAGCAACCUCGGGUGCGGGAUGCCGGCUUUCGGGUGGUAAACAGCUGUCGCCUGUGACGAAGCGUGAGUGACGGUAAUGGGUAAAGAAGCACCGGCUAACUACGUG